rnacentral:rRNA from 1 species
UACGUAGGUGACAAGCGUUGUCCGGAUUUACUGGGCGUAAAGAGCGCGCAGGCGGUCGUUCAAGUCGAGUGUGAAAGCCCCCGGCUCAACUGGGGAGGGUCACUCGAUACUGAUCGACUCGAAGGCAGGAGAGGGUAGUGGAAUUCCCGGUGUAGUGGUGAAAUGCGUAGAUAUCGGGAGGAACACCAGUGGCGAAGGCGACUCACCG